GGUUAAGCGACUAAGCGUACACGGUGGAUGCCCUGGCAGUCAGAGGCGAUGAAGGACGUGCUAAUCUGCGAUAAGCGUCGGUAAGGUGAUAUGAACCGUUAUAACCGGCGAUUUCCGAAUGGGGAAACCCAGUGUGAUUCGUCACACUAUCAUUAACUGAAUCCAUAGGUUAAUGAGGCGAACCGGGGGAACUGAAACAUCUAAGUACCCCGAGGAAAAGAAAUCAACCGAGAUUCCCCCAGUAGCGGCGAGCGAACGGGGAGCAGCCCAGAGCCUGAAUCAGUGUGUGUGUUAGUGGAAGCGUCUGGAAAGGCGCGCGAUACAGGGUGACAGCCCCGUACACAAAAAUGCACAUGCUGUGAGCUCGAUGAGUAGGGCGGGACACGUGGUAUCCUGUCUGAAUAUGGGGGGACCAUCCUCCAAGGCUAAAUACUCCUGACUGACCGAUAGUGAACCAGUACCGUGAGGGAAAGGCGAAAAGAACCCCGGCGAGGGGAGUGAAAAAGAACCUGAAACCGUGUACGUACAAGCAGUGGGAGCACGCUUAGGCGUGUGACUGCGUACCUUUUGUAUAAUGGGUCAGCGACUUAUAUUCUGUAGCAAGGUUAACCGAAUAGGGGAGCCGAAGGGAAACCGAGUCUUAACUGGGCGUUAAGUUGCAGGGUAUAGACCCGAAACCCGGUGAUCUAGCCAUGGGCAGGUUGAAGGUUGGGUAACACUAACUGGAGGACCGAACCGACUAAUGUUGAAAAAUUAGCGGAUGACUUGUGGCUGGGGGUGAAAGGCCAAUCAAACCGGGAGAUAGCUGGUUCUCCCCGAAAGCUAUUUAGGUAGCGCCUCGUGAAUUCAUCUCCGGGGGUAGAGCACUGUUUCGGCAAGGGGGUCAUCCCGACUUACCAACCCGAUGCAAACUGCGAAUACCGGAGAAUGUUAUCACGGGAGACACACGGCGGGUGCUAACGUCCGUCGUGAAGAGGGAAACAACCCAGACCGCCAGCUAAGGUCCCAAAGUCAUGGUUAAGUGGGAAACGAUGUGGGAAGGCCCAGACAGCCAGGAUGUUGGCUUAGAAGCAGCCAUCAUUUAAAGAAAGCGUAAUAGCUCACUGGUCGAGUCGGCCUGCGCGGAAGAUGUAACGGGGCUAAACCAUGCACCGAAGCUGCGGCAGCGACGCUGAUGCGUUGUUGGGUAGGGGAGCGUUCUGUAAGCCUGUGAAGGUGUGCUGUGAGGCAUGCUGGAGGUAUCAGAAGUGCGAAUGCUGACAUAAGUAACGAUAAAGCGGGUGAAAAGCCCGCUCGCCGGAAGACCAAGGGUUCCUGUCCAACGUUAAUCGGGGCAGGGUGAGUCGACCCCUAAGGCGAGGCCGAAAGGCGUAGUCGAUGGGAAACAGGUUAAUAUUCCUGUACUUGGUGUUACUGCGAAGGGGGGACGGAGAAGGCUAUGUUGGCCGGGCGACGGUUGUCCCGGUUUAAGCGUGUAGGCUGGUUUUCCAGGCAAAUCCGGAAAAUCAAGGCUGAGGCGUGAUGACGAGGCACUACGGUGCUGAAGCAACAAAUGCCCUGCUUCCAGGAAAAGCCUCUAAGCAUCAGGUAACAUCAAAUCGUACCCCAAACCGACACAGGUGGUCAGGUAGAGAAUACCAAGGCGCUUGAGAGAACUCGGGUGAAGGAACUAGGCAAAAUGGUGCCGUAACUUCGGGAGAAGGCACGCUGAUAUGUAGGUGAAGCGACUUGCUCGUGGAGCUGAAAUCAGUCGAAGAUACCAGCUGGCUGCAACUGUUUAUUAAAAACACAGCACUGUGCAAACACGAAAGUGGACGUAUACGGUGUGACGCCUGCCCGGUGCCGGAAGGUUAAUU
rnacentral:rRNA from 1 species